GCUCGUACGGCGAGUGAGCGGCAACAGCUCAAAUUUUGAAAGCUAGCCUUCGGGUUCGCAUUGUAAUUCUGUAGAGGAUGCUUUGGGUAAAACGCCAGUCUAAGUUCCUUGGAACAGGACGUCAUAGAGGGUGAGAAUCCCGUAUGUGACUGGAAAUGUUAACCUAUGUAAAGCUCCUUCGACGAGUCGAGUUGUUUGGGAAUGCAGCUCUAAAUGGGAGGUAAAUUUCUUCUAAAGCUAAAUAUUGGCGAGAGACCGAUAGCGCACAAGUAGAGUGAUCGAAAGAUGAAAAGCACUUUGGAAAGAGAGUUAAAAAGCACGUGAAAUUGUUGAAAGGGAAGCGCUUGCAAUCAGACUUGUUUAAACUGUUCGGCCGGUCUUCUGACCGGUUUACUCAGUUUGGACAGGCCAGCAUCAGUUUCGGCGGCCGGAUAAAGGCUCUGGGAAUGUGGCCUCCACUUCGGUGGAGGUGUUAUAGCCCAGUGUGUAAUACGGCCAGCCGGGACUGAGGUCCGCGCUUCGGCUAGGAUGCUGGCGUAAUGGUUGUAAGCGACCCGUCU
rnacentral:rRNA from 1 species